rnacentral:rRNA from 1 species
GGGGAAUAUUGGACAAUGGGCGAAAGCCUGAUCCAGCAACGCCGCGUGAGGGAUGACGGCCUUCGGGUUGUAAACCUCUUUCACCUCUGACGAAGCGAAAGUGACGGUAAGGGGAGAAGAAGGACCGGCCAACUACGUGCCAGCAGCCGCGGUAAUACGUAGGGUCCGAGCGUUGUCCGGAAUUAUUGGGCGUAAAGGGCUCGUAGGCGGUUUGUCGCGUCGGGAGUGAAAACCAGGUGCUUAACACCUGGCUUGCUUCCGAUACGGGCAGACUAGAGGUAUGCAGGGGAGAAUGGAAUUCCUGGUGUAGCGGUGAAAUGCGCAGAUAUCAGGAGGAACACCGGUGGCGAAGGCGGUUCUCUGGGCAUUACCUGACGCUGAGGAGCGAAAGUGUGGGGAGCGAAC